UACGUAGGGGGCAAGCGUUGUCCGGAAUCAUUGGGCGUAAAGAGCGUGUAGGCGGCCAGAAAAGUCCGCUGUGAAAACUCGAGGCUCAACUUCGAGCUGUCGGUGGAAACUUUCUGGCUAGAGUCCGAAAGAGGAGAAUGGAAUUCCUGGUGUAGCGGUGAAAUGCGCAGAUAUCAGGAAGAACACCCGUGGCGAAGGCGGUUCUCUGGGACGGUACUGACGCUGAGACGCGAAAGCGUGGGGAGCAAACAGG
rnacentral:rRNA from 1 species